GAGGCUAUAGCUCAGUGGUAGAACACGUGCUUAGCAUGCAUUGAGGUCCUGGGUUCAAUCCCCUGUACCUCU
rnacentral:tRNA from 1 species